GUCCACAGCCAUGCCACCCGAAACAUGCCCGAUCUUGUCAGAUUUGGAAGCUAAGCAGGAUUGGGCCUGGUUAGUACUUGGAUGGGAGACCACCUAGGAUGGGAGACCACCUAGGUGCUGCAGGCG
rnacentral:rRNA from 1 species